rnacentral:rRNA from 1 species
GACAGAGGUGCCGAGCGUUAGGCGGAAUCACUGGGCGUAAAGCGUGCGCAGGCGGUUCGUUGUGUCGGCGGUGAAAGCCCCGGGCUUAACCUGGGAAUGGCCGUCGAAACUGGCGAACUGGAGUGUGGCAGAGGGGGGUGGAAUUCCGCGUGUAGCAGUGAAAUGCGUAGAGAUGCGGAGGAACACCGAUGGCGAAGGCAGCCCCCUGGGCUGACACUGACGCUCAGGCACGAAAGCGUGGGGAGCAAACAGG